rnacentral:rRNA from 1 species
GACCUCGGAUCAGACAGGGAUACCCG